GAUGAACGCUAGCUACAGGCUUAACACAUGCAAGUCGAGGGGCAGCAUGGUCUUAGCUUGCUAAGGCCGAUGGCGACCGGCGCACGGGUGAGUAACACGUAUCCAACCUGCCGUCUACUCUUGGACAGCCUUCUGAAAGGAAGAUUAAUACAAGAUGGCAUCAUGAGUCCGCAUGUUCACAUGAUUAAAGGUAUUCCGGUAGACGAUGGGGAUGCGUUCCAUUAGAUAGUAGGCGGGGUAACGGCCCACCUAGUCUUCGAUGGGUAGGGGUUCUGAGAGGAAGGUCCCCCACAUUGGAACUGAGACACGGUCCAAACUCCUACGGGAGGCAGCAGUGAGGAAUAUUGGUCAAUGGGCGAGAGCCUGAACCAGCCAAGUAGCGUGAAGGAUGACUGCCCUAUGGGUUGUAAACUUCUUUUAUAAAGGAAUAAAGUCGGGUAUGGAUACCCGUUUGCAUGUACUUUAUGAAUAAGGAUCGGCUAACUCCGUGCCAGCAGCCGCGGUAAUACGGAGGAUCCGAGCGUUAUCCGGAUUUAUUGGGUUUAAAGGGAGCGUAGAUGGAUGUUUAAGUCAGUUGUGAAAGUUUGCGGCUCAACCGUAAAAUUGCAGUUGAUACUGGAUAUCUUGAGUGCAGUUGAGGCAGGCGGAAUUCGUGGUGUAGCGGUGAAAUGCUUAGAUAUCACGAAGAACUCCGAUUGCGAAGGCAGCCUGCUAAGCUGCAACUGACAUUGAGGCUCGAAAGUGUGGGUAUCAAACAGGAUUAGAUACCCUGGUAGUCCACACGGUAAACGAUGAAUACUCGCUGUUUGCGAUAUACUGCAAGCGGCCAAGCGAAAGCGUUAAGUAUUCCACCUGGGGAGUACGCCGGCAACGGUGAAACUCAAAGGAAUUGACGGGGGCCCGCACAAGCGGAGGAACAUGUGGUUUAAUUCGAUGAUACGCGAGGAACCUUACCCGGGCUUAAAUUGCAGAUGAAUUACGGUGAAAGCCGUAAGCCGCAAGGCAUCUGUGAAGGUGCUGCAUGGUUGUCGUCAGCUCGUGCCGUGAGGUGUCGGCUUAAGUGCCAUAACGAGCGCAACCCUUGUUGUCAGUUACUAACAGGUUCCGCUGAGGACUCUGACAAGACUGCCAUCGUAAGAUGUGAGGAAGGUGGGGAUGACGUCAAAUCAGCACGGCCCUUACGUCCGGGGCUACACACGUGUUACAAUGGGGGGUACAGAGGGCCGCUACCACGCGAGUGGAUGCCAAUCCCCAAAACCUCUCUCAGUUCGGACUGGAGUCUGCAACCCGACUCCACGAAAGCUGGAUUCGCUAGUAAUCGCGCAUCAGCCACGGCGCGGUAAAUACGUUCCCGGGCCCU
rnacentral:rRNA from 1 species